GUGGGGAAUCUUGCGCAAUGGGCGAAAGCCUGACGCAGCCAUGCCGCGUGAAUGAUGAAGGUCUUAGGAUUGUAAAAUUCUUUCACCGGGGACGAUAAUGACGGUACCCGGAGAAGAAGCUCCGGCUAACUUCGUGCCAGCAGCCGCGGUAAUACGAAGGGGGCUAGCGUUGCCCGGAUUUACUGGGCGUAAAGGGCGCGUAGGCGGACAGCUUAGUCAGAGGUGAAAGCCCAGGGCUCAACCUUGGAAUUGCCGUUGAUACUGGCUGUCUUGAGUUUGGGAGAGGUGAGUGGAGCUCCGAGUGUAGAGGUGAAAUUCGUAGAUAUUCGGAAGAACACCAGUGGCGAAGGCGACUCACUGGCCCAAUACUGACGCUGAGGCGCGAAAGCGUGGGGAGCAAACAGGAUUAGAUACCCCUGUAGUCC
rnacentral:rRNA from 1 species